rnacentral:rRNA from 1 species
GAUGAACGCUAGCGGUGUGCUUAAAGCAUGCAAGUCGAACGUGAUCCUUGGAUUCGUUCAAGGUGAAAGUGGCGAACGGGUGAGUAACGCGUUGGUGAUCUGCCCCGGAGUGGGGAAUAACUAUCGGAAACGAUAGCUAAUGCCCCAGAUGUCUUCGUGUUUGGAAAGCGAUGACUAAAGUUCAGGCGCUCCGGGAGGAGCCUGCGUCCCAUCAGCUAGUUGGUAGGGUAAUGGCCUACCAAGGCACAGACGGGGUAGGGGCGUGAGAGCGUGGCCCCCCACACUGGUACUGACACACGGACCAGAUGCCUACGGGUAGCAGCAGCUAGGAAUAUUGGGCAAUGGGCGAAAGCCUGAUCCAGCAACACCGCGUGAAGGACGACGGCCUUCGGGUUGUAAACGUUCUUUUCGUAGGGAAUGAGAAAGGACGAGUACCUCGGAAUAAGGCCGGCUAACUACGUG